rnacentral:lncRNA from 1 species
AUAAACACAAAAAUCUAGAGAACAAAGUUUUCAAAGUUUCAUAAGAUUCAAAAACACAACUGUUUUAAACGUCUUCAUCUCCUUCAUUGUCUUCUUCACCUUCCUUGUCUUCCUCCAUAAACUCAAACUGAUCACCUAAGCACAAUAAAAUAACAAAAAACUUAUUAUUUUCUUGAAAUUUGAUUCCAGUUGAAUUUAAAGAUGACAAAAAUACACAAGUAAAAAAACUUACUAAUCUCUUGAAAUCCGCAUAACCAAUUCCUUGUGCAAAUUAAGACUUGCACAUUUGAAGGAAGAAGGGAACUCCUAUAUUUGUUUAACACGUGACUUCCUAUGCUGAAUGACGAUUCUGAAGCCACGGUUGUAAUAGGGAUACUUUGGAACUAUGUUAUGAAGAAUCUUUUUUCUAGUAGCUGAGCUAUAAAUUUCAUCUUUUGUAGAAAAAUAUUUAUUUAUUCAAGUGUGUUCGAAAACACAAACUAGAACAUGAUGGUGUUUUUUCUUAUUUGUUUACUUUUUGUUCACGAUGAUGUUAGGUCAAUUCCUAUCUCCAAAUUAUCAUUUGAUAAUAAUAAAAAUCGCAUCUAACUAAGGAUAUGAGUAAUUUUGUAGCUAAAUUGAAUUCAAAUUAAUGGUAAAAGGGACACGUUAACAUAUAAACUGGCUGAAGUCUUUUUUAUUGCUCUAAUUAGAAAAAUGUGUACUCAAACAAGCUAUUAAUCCUCUUUAAACCAAACAAAACAUAAAAAGAAGAACUAAAGCAGGAAGGGGGGGGGGGGGGGAACGGAGGACGUAUCCAACUUGUGCUCCCAGCAUAAAUUAUACCCAAGGAUCCAUAAAAAAGAAAAUUAACAACUGUUCCCAUGAAUAUAAAAAUCAUUGCUUCCACUAUUGCCUGUUUUUGGCUUAUGAACAUAAGAAUGCCAAAAAGACAAGAUAACCAACAGGAGAAAAGAGUGAGAUAAGCAUUUCCCAUCUCCAUCCUAAGCUUUUCCGAUAGCUGAAUCAGCCCUAUUCCUCCAAUCAGUGGCGGAACCAGAACAUUUUUCCAUUGGGGGCAAAACAUAUUUAAUAGGAGCAUAUAUAUUAUUUAUUAUGGGGGCAACUAUUAUUAUUGUUACAAAUUUACACUAAUUAUUUUUUUAUUGGGGGCAACUGCCCCCAACUCAUUGUAUACAUAUCCGCCACUGCCUCCAGUGAACAACUGAUGAAUAAAGACACGUACAACACAAACGACUUUUGUAUAUCCCCCCAGAUAAAUAAACAUAUUGGCGUCAAAUAAAAUGAAGCUAUCAGGACAAGUACCGCAAAGACAAGCUGAUGAAUCCUUUCUUUCACUGUAGUAAAUGACUUUUUUUGUCCAUUGGACGGACCAAUGUCCAAAGUAUCUACCCCGAUUUGUCUAUGGGCGAAAUUGGAUGAAGCUCAUUUCAACCCGUUUCAAAAAUGGACUUGUCCAUGACCGGUCCAAAAUGUGUUGGACGCGGACAGCCCAUGGGUCGCCCACCCAUUUUGACAGCUCUAAUCUUAGGUGUCGGUAUAUCCACUUACCAACGGGGUAGAUCUCAUCGCGCCUUGCCUUGACCACAUAUUCAAAGUCAGUGAAGUUCAUAUGAUGGCUGUUGGAGAUUACAUCGGUCGAUUGAACCCGCGUUUCCUGGUUAAAAAGGAUGGUGUAUUCACUCCUAGUCAUAUUGAACGAAUUGUUUUCCUUGUUCGACCGACAGAGAAGGAAUCCACUUAUCUCAAACCACAACCCUUUUUGCAUCACAUGUUUGAAAUAUGCAUGAUAGCGAUUUCCAACGGAAGCGAGUAUUUUGAAACCCUCUCAUAACUAAUAAGGAGAUCAAGCAAGACCCAAACUUACCUCUUCCUGAAAAAAAAAAAAAAAAAAAAAAAAAAAAAAAACUUACCUCUUCCUCCACCAGAAUAAAAUCAAUCUAUUUGAGAUCGCCCGGAUUAGUGUUCUCCCAUCGUUUCAACACCUUCACCACUAUUUUCCAAUCAGAUUCCCACAUGUUCAAAUCACUGAGCAAGCUUUCACCACCCAUAAUGUUAUAGUACGCUAAUAGUAGAGAGAAUUUUGCUCUGGAAAAAAAGUUUUUUUUUGUGGACAAAAUAAAAAACUUUUGAA